GACGAACGCUGGCGGCGUGCUUAACACAUGCAAGUCGAACGGAAAGGCCCUGCUUGCAGGGUACUCGAGUGGCGAACGGGUGAGUAACACGUGGGUGAUCUGCCCUGCACUUCGGGAUAAGCCUGGGAAACUGGGUCUAAUACCGGAUAGGAGCCAUUUUUAGUGUGAUGGUUGGAAAGUUUUUUCGGUGUAGGAUGAGCUCGCGGCCUAUCGGCUUGUUGGUGGGGUGAUGGCCUACCAAGGCGGCGGCGGGUAGCCGGCCUGUGAGGGUGGACGGCCACAUUGGGACUGAGAUACGGCCCAGGCUCCUACGGGAGGCAGCAGGGGGGAAUAUUGCACAAUGGGCGCAAGCCUGAUGCAGCGACGCCGCGGGGGGGAUGACGGCCUUCGGGUUGUAAACUCCUUUCGCUAGGGACGAAGCUUUUUGUGACGGUACCUAGAUAAGAAGCACCGGCUAACUACGUG
rnacentral:rRNA from 1 species